rnacentral:lncRNA from 1 species
GUUCAUUUAUAAUAUUGAAAUGUUAAUUAUACCCCAUGCAACGAGUUGCGGAGGGUAUAAUGUUUUUGACCUGUUCGUCUGUCCGUCAGUCCUGUUUUUAGCUCACCUGGCCCGAAGGGCCAUGUGAGCUUUUCUCAUCACUUGGCGUCCGGCGUCCAUCGUCCGUCGUCCGUCGUCGUCGUCCGUCGUUAACUUUUACAAAAAUCUUCUCCUCUGAAACUGCUGGACCAAAUUAAACCAAACUUGGCCACAAUUAUCAUUGGGGUAUCUAGUUUAAAAAUUGUGUCCGGUGACCCGCCCAACCAACCAAGAUGGCCGCCAUGGCUAAAAAUAGAACAUAGGGGUAAAAUGCAGUUUUUGGCUUAUAACUCAAAAACCAAAGCAUUUAGAGCAAAUCUGACAUGGG